UUCGCAAUGCCCGAAAGGGUGAACGAGCGACGCCGCGUGCGGGAUGAAGGGCUUCGGUUUGUAAACCGCUUUUCUUUGGGACGAAUACCCGUGUCGUGAACUCGGGGGUGACGGUACCAGAGGAAUAAGCCCCGGCUAACUCCGUGCCAGCAGCCGCGGUAAGACGGAGGGGGCGAGCGUUGUUCGGAAUUAUUGGGCGUAAAGGGCGCGUAGGCGGACCUGUGUGUCUGGCGUGAAAUCUCCACCGCUCAACGGGGAGAGGCCGCUGGAAACUGCAGGUCUGGAGUUCGUCAGAGGACCAUGGAAUUCCAGGUGUAGCGGUGGAAUGCGUAGAUAUCUGGAAGAACACCGGUGGCGAAGGCGGUGGUCCGGGGCGAAACUGACGCUGAGGCGCGAAAGCCAGGGGAGCAAACGGGAUUAGAUACCCCGGUAGUCCUAGCCCUAAACGAUGGGCACUAAGUAGAGGGGUUUU
rnacentral:rRNA from 1 species